rnacentral:rRNA from 1 species
UACGUAGGGUGCAGGCGUUAAUCGGAAUUACUGGGCGUAAAGCGUGCGCAGGCGGUCUGCUAAGAGAGAUGUGAAAUCCCCGGGCUCAACCCAGGAAGUGCACUCGAUACUGCCUGGCUCGAGUAUCGGAGAGGUUGGUGGAAUUCUCGGUGUAGAGGUGAAAUUCGUAGAUAUCGAGAGGAACACCGGUGGCGAAGGCGGCCAACUGGACGAAUACUGACGCUGAGACACGAAAGCGUGGGGAGCAAACAGG